AGAGCAACCCCUCUGCCGUGCUGCAUGGGGUCCUCCACACCUACAGGGAUAAGGAAGUUGGGUCCGUACUCGUUGUCGCAAAAUACAUCUGACAGGCUUUGGCUGACAAUGGGCCCCACAACGACCCCUCGCCCUCCUGCACAAAUGGAGACGGAGAGACGACGCUCAAGUUCUAAGCCGGUUAACAAGUUUUGAGGUUACAACUUCACUCAUCCUAGAGAGGGAUACCACCUGUGUACCACAGGCAGUGCUCUCACCCGCUCCUUCUCCAUACUUGGCGCUGUGUGCCCACGUUACACCGUUCAUGAAGCCCAGCUCUCGGC